GGGCGGCGGCGUUAAAGCGGUUGACGUAAGCUCGGAUGGAUUCUCCCUCCUUUUGCUUGAUGUUGAUGAGGGACUCCGAACCUCGCCGGGGAUGCUGGCUGCUGAUGAAAUGAGCCACGAACUGGUGACUCAUCUGGUCAAAGGAGAAGGUUGUACCCGACUUCAGUGCCGAGUACCAAUUCCUUGCUGCUCCCUUCAAGGUAGACGGGAAAGCUCGACACAAGAUGGUGUUUGGCACGCCAUGGAGCAGCAUC
rnacentral:lncRNA from 1 species